AACGAACGCUGGCGGCAGGCUUAACACAUGCAAGUCGAGCGCCCCGCAAGGGGAGCGGCAGACGGGUGAGUAACGCGUGGGAAUCUACCCAAUACUACGGAAUAGCUCCGGGAAACUGGAAUUAAUACCGUAUGUGCCCUACGGGGGAAAGAUUUAUCGGUAUUGGAUGAGCCCGCGUUGGAUUAGCUAGUUGGUGAGGUAAUGGCCCACCAAGGCGACGAUCCAUAGCUGGUCUGAGAGGAUGAUCAGCCACACUGGGACUGAGACACGGCCCUGACUCCUACGGGAGGCAGCAGUGGGGAAUAUUGCACAAUGGGCGAAAGCCUGAUGCAGCGACGCCGCGUGAGGGAUGACGGCCCUCGGGUUGUAAACCUCUUUCGGCAGGGACGAAGCGAUCAGUGACGGUACCUGCAGAAGAAGUCCCGGCUAACUACGUGCCAGCCGCCGCUGUAACAC
rnacentral:rRNA from 1 species